rnacentral:rRNA from 1 species
UACGUAGGGGGCAAGCGUUGUCCGGAAUCAUUGGGCGUAAAGAGCGUGUAGGCGGCCCGGUAAGUCCGUUGUGAAAGUCGAGGGCUCAACCCUCGAAUGCCGGCGGAUACUGUCGGGCUAGAAUCCGGAAGAGGCGAGUGGAAUUCCUGGUGUAGCGGUGAAAUGCGCAGAUAUCAGGAAGAACACCCGUGGCGAAGGCGGCUCUCUGGGACGGUACUGACGCUGAGACGCGAAAGCGUGGGGAGCGAACAGG